rnacentral:rRNA from 1 species
ACGAAUCCCUUCGGGGAUUAGUGGCGGACGGGUGAGUAGCGCGUGAGAAUCUGCCUUCAGGUUCGGGACAACCACUGGAAACGGUGGCUAAUACCGAAUGUGCCGCAACGUGAAAGAUUUAUCGCCUGAAGAUGAGCUCGCGUCCGAUUAGCUAGUUGGUGAGGUAAAAGCUCACCAAGGCGACGAUCGGUAGCUGGUCUGAGAGGAUGACCAGCCACACUGGGACUGAGACACGGCCCAGACUCCUACGGGAGGCAGCAGUGGGGAAUUUUCCGCAAUGGGCGCAAGCCUGACGGAGCAAGACCGCGUGAGGGAGGAAGGCUCUUGGGUUGUAAACCUCUUUUCUCAGGGAAGAAGAAAGUGACGGUACCUGAGGAAUCAGCCUCGGCUAACUCCGUGCCAGCAGCCGCGGUAAUACGGAGGAGGCAAGCGUUAUCCGGAAUUAUUGGGCGUAAAGCGUCCGUAGGUGGUUAUGUAAGUCUGCUGUCAAAGCACAGGGCUUAACCCUGUAAGGGCAGUGGAAACUACAAGACUCGAGUGCGGUAGGGGCAGAGGGAAUUCCCAGUGUAGCGGUGAAAUGCGUAGAGAUUGGGAAGAACACCUGUGGCGAAAGCGCUCUGCUGGACCGCAACUGACACUCAGGGACGAAAGCUAGGGGAGCGAAUGGGAUUAGAUACCCCAGUAGUCCUAGCCGUA